ACAGUGGAAGUUUUGCUGCCCUGAUCCCUGCCUGGAAGUUCAGGGACGUGAGAAGCAUGGGAAGACUGACUGGCAGUGAAGAUUAAGGCAAAGAACCCAAUGACAUUUUCCCUGACUGUAUUAUCAUCAUUCAACAACUCCAUUGGGUCAACAAGAAAGGUACAGAUAAUGCACAGCAAGAAGUCCAAAAGAAAGAAGAUUAAACUGUAAUGUAAUGCGAUAAAAGAAGAAGAGAAAAAAAAAGCUGCAUGUAGCAAAGGCAUUCAUCCCUUGGUUACUGUCACAGUUCUGUUUUGGUCACAAGUUCUGCGCUUCCAGCUCUCUCCUCUUCCCCCCAAAAGAAAAAAAGGAAAUAGAAAAAAAGAGGUGAAACAACAACCGAACACAAAAACAAACAAAUACUCCGUAGCUCAGGAUCAAAUAAGAAAUAACAGGAAAAUAAAAUCCACAGAUAUUUACAAAUGUUAUUUUAUAAUUAAAUACAAAAAUACUUGGCUAUUACCAUUUGCUGAGGCCCAGCAUUUAAUAGCACUGUAAUCUUUCCUAUUAUGCAAUGAAUUUGACAUAAUGAAGAGACAGAAUAGGAUGUAUUAAAAAAAAAAAAAAAAAAAAUCCUGAAUUUCACUUAAGGACAAAACUUUUGUAUAGCAACCAGUAGAAUAAAGUAUAUUCAGGGAUCUAUAAUGAGCCAUUUCUUCUCCACUAAGGGAUGAUCACUAAGGUUUUCAUUUUGUGUAGCUGAAAAAUGAACUGGGGUUGAUUAUACAUCUGAUGAUUUUGUUGGCAAGACACUGAAGUUGUUAUCUUCUUACCUUCAUCAGAUUUGGCUUCUCACAAGGAUUCAUUUGCUCUACAAACUUGUGUGGUUGUAAUCUUAAGUCUGUCCAUGAAAUUGCAACAUUCAUGUAUUCCACAAGGAAUGAAAGAAAAUUGUUAAGAAAAAUAAGACCAAGGAUAAUUUUCCAAUCUUUGAUAAUAUAGAGGUGAUUCCAUAGUUAAGAUGAUGUUGAACACUGAACACUGAACUCCAAGUAGAAUUACAAUGCUUGGGUUUUACAUUCAUUAGUAAGUUUUGCAUUACUACUACUGAAAGUACUGAAUUUUCAGUGUUUUCUUUAAUGGCUUUUUGAAGACUGUCAAACCUAUAGAGACUUAUCAGACAAAAUGUAGAUAUGUGCUAUUUAUUAUUGUAUGGGAGAAAAAAUUACAGAUCACAAUGCAUCUCAUUUUAUAUCAGCUUCCAAACUACAGCAGAUUAAUCCUGCUCAAGGAACGUCUGCCUGUGACUAGGGUAACAAUUUCAUAUUUGCAUAUCUAUGGACUGAAAGUAGCUGUUCGUGCAAAGCUUUGAAUAGUUUUUGAGAUAUAUCAGCAUAUUCCCUUUGACAGAGGAUUCCUUUAAAAUUGUGAUAAAUCCAUCAUCCCUUUGUGACUAUGCAAGAGGACAAAAACCUAGCUGAAAUUUCUGUGUUAAUUUUAAAUGUCAUAUAAGGUUCCAUAUUAAAAUUCCUAAUUUAGAUUUUUGCUUAAGAACUCAGUCACAAGGGUCCCCACUGUUCUUCUUACAGAUCUUGCCAAAUCUGUAGAUCAAAUAGAGGCAUCUACUUCUGAACUAGUUAAUCAAAAUUGCUUACAUAAGACUGCCUUCAUGUAGAUGAUAUUUUGGGGAGUGAGGGGUAGGGGUAGCUGAAUCGCAUCUUCUAGACUGAGUAUAAAACAUAAAUGGAAAUAUCCAGAGCUAUGUAAUAUCUUUUGAGUCCAGCUGGCAUCUGAACUCGAUAAAUAAAUCUCUUGUAGGACCUGCUUCAACUCUGUCAGACUUGUCUCAGAUACAUAUUGCAUCUCAGAUGGCAGUGGAUAAAUAUGAUUAAGUAAUUGAAUCACACAGUGUGUAUGCAACUUAUUUAUGGUAAUGCCCAGAUAGUAGAAAUCUGGGAAUACAAAGUUAAUGGAAACAGGAGAUUACCUUACUGAAAUGAAGAGAUUCUUGACUCCAUAGCACAUAUGUGGGAAGACUGAGGGAUUCUCAUUUGUUAAUCAGUCAUAUAGUUGUGUAGAGAGUUGAUAAGAAACACUGACAGAGAAUAUCUGAAUAAUCUCAAAAUUGUUGAUGUCCAGAAACAUCAAAUCAUUCUCUGAAGUUUAUAAUCAAAUCUUCUGAAAUUAUUGUGAUGGAGUAACAGCGGAAAACAAACAAACAAACAAACAAAAACAAACAGAUUUAUUUGGCUUGUGAAAGAACUUGCUAAGAAAGCUGGAGAAUGAGUUUUAGACAUACCUUGUAAUGAAGGAAUUAGAGUAUAUUGUACAUUAUUUCUCUUUCACCAUUUUUUUCACUGCCAUGAGGAAAAAUUUAUUUGUGAUGAUUCUGUUUUCUGUCUUUCAUGAUGAAACUGAAAGGAAAAAAAAUAGGAUUUAUAGAUUCAAAAGGGGGGUGUUAGGGACAGGGGGAGAUUCACUUUAGUUCUGUGAUAAGCCACUUUGCUAAGAGGGGAGGAGGAUCCUGUAUAUAUGUACAUAUCCUAUAUAUAUGUAUCCUGGAUUCUGAUUUAAACUCACACUAUUGUUCAUUUACUUUACAUAUUAUUUUUCCCCCUAACAGGAAUAUGCACAAUUCCACAAAAAUUGAAAAUAUAGGUAAUUCUUUAUCAUCUCACAAGGUUUUAUCUAUGACUACUUUUUUAAUGUAUUCAUUUUAUGAUCUCAUUAAUGAUCUGUUCUUUACCUAAUAAAGAUUUGACUUCAGCAAUAGUGAGGGAAGAAUUAUUAUAGCAUACUUGGAAAUUAUGCCUUGGGUUCCAACUUUGUUCUAAUACUCAAAUGUUCCACAAUUUUGAUUAAUGUCUUGUUACUUAAUUAUUAUACAAAAAGUCAAGAAAAUAAUCUCUGUACAUAUUUUGAAAUAAAGAUCUCUCCAGGCACUG
ensembl:lncRNA